GCUUGAGUGGACUCUGAGCCCAUCGCGCUGCUUUUGCCUCGCGCUCUUUGGCCCUCGACUUCACUGCUGGUCACCCAUGUUACGUUUUUUUACAACACAGAAAUUAAAAAAGAAUUGAGAGCUUUCGAUACGAUUCGUGGUGGUCGGCGAUCGAUUCGGUCGUGCCCCGAAUUACCCGGAGGGAACACUUCUCUUUGUUGAUCUCUAACUUGCCAUCGUGCAUUAAAAUCGAGCCACUCAUCUCGGAACUGAUCGAUUACCGAUCCUCGGUAAAGAAGAAACGGGCGCUUCACUGCCGCAAUCUUCGGGAAUACUCCGUAGGCAUCGACGGCGUUACCGUUCCCUCGUUCUCUCGAUCUGAUUGCAGGUGGCGCGCGGCUCGUUGGCGUCGGAACGAAAAACAUCGAUGGCAUCAAUUGCCGCGCAUCAAUCACAAUCCAUUAAAUCGGAAUAUUUUCGAGGAUUAAUUUAUGGUGCAAUCGAGUAUUAUUGAUGCAAGCGUUUACGUGAUUUCGUUCGAAGAAUAAUUCAACGGAGGAAGACCACGAGCUUCGCAACUUCGAAUCGGGGAUGCACUUGCGGAGAGAUCUACAAACAAUCCUUUGUUCUUCGACUGCGGGGCACAGCAUACCGAGCGAGCGAGGGAGACAAAGAACAAGAGCAAGAGUCGAGGGCAACUGUGCGCGCAUGUGGACGGCGGCCUCGCGGUCCAAUCAUCACUGCGACUUUCCUGAGGCAACAAAAAUUCUUCACUCCCGUGGGAUUCCUCGAUCCUCAUUUUGUCUAAUUUCGUCUCGGAGACACUCCGAGAUUAGGAAAAAAACGAAAACGCAAUAAUGACUCGGAAAUUCAACUCCUUCGAGAGCAGGAGCCUCGCUCGAGGAGCCUCCGGUUAAGACGUACCACUCUCACCGGGCCUAAAAACAGGGAUGAAACUCUUUGUUCAACUGGUCACGUGUGAUCGCCGAAUGAGGUUAUACCCGCGGAGCGGCCUCCCCGUGUGUGUCACUUGUGACUUUGGCCAUCGAUGUUUUGCUACCGCGUAUAUGCAGCACUCGAUCAUUGUUUCGAGACUGGAGGAGAACCUAUCGCCGUCUGGGAAUUUACGUUUAUGAUCCUUCGCCAGC